UUACUGGUGGCAGAAUAGUGCUUAAAAUUUAAGUUUUUACUAUGAAGAUUUCUUCCCAGUAUAC
rnacentral:tRNA from 1 species